rnacentral:snRNA from 1 species
UUUUUUGACCCUUCGAGGAGAUAUGAUAUUAUUGAAACAAUACAGAUAAGAUAAGAUUAGCAUGACCUGUGGCGCGCAAGGAUGAUACGCAUAAAUCAAGAUUUAUUCUCGUGAUCU